rnacentral:lncRNA from 1 species
GUUUCCAGCUGGCAUCCUUUGGACAAAGGCCUUCCCACCUUACCCUGAUUCCAGGACAUCUCUGGUGCAGCGGAGGCUGGAGCACUGGAGAGUCCUUCAGUUAAGAACGCUGUUUCUCCGAUUGGACCUUAGCUGACCGUACCCAGGAAUGGGGAUGUGUGGAGGUAAGCUGUCCUAUUCCUCCUGCCUGUGUUUGCUGAAGGGACUUCCGUGGCCAUUUCUCCUUUAUAUCAGCAAAUGCGAAUGACCGACGAUCUGAGCUAUUGAGGCAAAACUCCACAACCAAUCCAUCAGCCUGAGAAAAGCCGGACUACCACCCCCAGCUUUGAGAGCCGUAUGUACCCCAACUUUGGUGUCUCUAGCCGCUCCAGCCGCACAGGCUCUGGAGAAAUUUUCUUCGAUGCAAGUGACCACCGCCUCCUCGCGCCCUUAAGCAAUUCAUGCUUCUCCCCCUAAGCACAGCAUUUAAACGACUUAGGGGUUGCUGAAAGUGAACCAACCACUGGCUUUCGAGCAGUAGCUAGAGAAGAUACGAAACCCGGCAUACUGGACCCGACUCGGAAUUUAUGAGAGAAGCGAGGAGGUAAGCUGGCCUGUUGUGAAGGCCUCAGCCAAGUGAAGGAAUAAAGGACCGCAUAGGAAAGUCAUUGGAGCAGCAGGAGGCGACGGCAACACAGCCCUUGGCUGGUGUGGUUGUGUCGGUGGAUGCAUAGACUACAACACACUGAAAUACUCCAGGCCUCUGUACUGGAUUAAUCCGCUCUUGGAUGGAUUUGUGGGUUACUGUUGGGGUGUUGUUAUAACUGGCUGCCGCUGGCUCUGCUCACUCCAUAAUGCCCUGGUCGCUUUUAUUCCGGGAGUCCCCACCGCAAGAAGGCUGUCACCAGAUGCUCAGCUUUGGAUUUCCCAGUUUAUCUGGGUUCCUAAAGCUGGGAAUUAAGAAUUCUCUACAAAUAUACCCUCUAUAAAUUAUGCUGUCUAUGGUGUUCAGUCACAGCUGCAGA